rnacentral:tRNA from 1 species
GGGGUUGUAGUUCAGUUGGUUAGAACGCCUGCCUGUCACGCAGGAGGCCGAGGGUUCGAGUCCCUUCAACCCCGCCA